rnacentral:rRNA from 1 species
AGUGAACGCUGGCGGCGUGCUUAACACAUGCAAGUCGAACGAGAACGGGAUAUAGCUUGCUAUAUUUGUCAGCUAAGUGGCGCACGGGUGAGUAAUGUAUAGGUAAUAUGCCUCUUACUAAGGGAUAACAAUUGGAAACGAUUGCUAAUACCUUAUAUGCCUUUAAGACUAAAGUCUGCAAGGGAAAGAUUUAUUGGUAAGAGAUUAGCCUGUAUUGUAUCAGCUAGUUGGUGAGGUAAUGGCUCACCAAGGCUAUGACGCAUAACUGGUUUGAGAGGAUGAUCAGUCACACUGGAACUGAGACACGGUCCAGACUCCUACGGGAGGCAGCAGUGGGGAAUAUUGCACAAUGGACGAAAGUCUGAUGCAGCAACGCCGCGUGGAGGAUGACACAUUUCGGUGCGUAAACUCCUUUUAUAUGGGAAGAUAAUGACGGUACUAUAUGAAUAAGCACCGGCUAACUCCGUGCCAGCCGCCGCCGUAAUAC